UUCGGUGACUUUAUCGCAGUGGCACCACCUGAUCCCAUCCCGAACUCAGAAGUGAAACACUGUUGAGCCGACAAUACUUUUUCCUUUGGGAUUGUGGAAGAUAGGUAGUCGCCGAAU
rnacentral:rRNA from 1 species